GGAAGUGGCGAAAUUGGUAGACGCACCAGAUUUAGGUUCUGGCGCCGCGAGGCGUAAGAGUUCAAGUCUCUUCUUCCGCACCA
rnacentral:tRNA from 2 species